CCACCCUUAGUUUAUAGAGAAUAGCGGCCUUGUAAGUCGCCGGAGUGAGUAGAGUCUUGCAGGGUGGU
rnacentral:tRNA from 1 species